rnacentral:rRNA from 1 species
UAAGAUUUUAAAUUUAAAGUAUUUCUCCUGCUCAAUGAAUUUUAAAUAGCCGCAAUUAUUUUGUGCUAAGGUAGCAUAAUCAUUAGCUUUAUAAUUAAAAGAUAGAAUGAACGGAAAAACGAAAUAAUAAUUAUUUAUACUUUUUUUCAUAAAAUUAAAUUUAAAAUUCAAUAAAAAUCUUAUAUAGACGAUAAGACCCUAUAAACUUAAAUAAUUUAACUGGGGUGGUUAAAUAAUAAAACCUUAAUUUAAAUAGCUAAUAAAAUUAUUAUAUUAUUAUAAAAUUAGUUACUAUAGGGAUAACAGCGCAAUAUUUUUUAAUAGAUCUAAUAUAAAAAAAUAGUUACGACCUCGAUGUUGAAUUAAUAUUCUAAAUUUAAAACGCAAAAGUUAUUUUAAAAGAAGGUCUGUUCGACCAU